GCAUGGCUGAAUUCUGAUUUACUUGAAGUAGUAAAGUCAGUCAGACACCAUGCGAAAUUAACGGUUCACACACUGACUAAGCAAUGAAAAGGGCCAUUGCGUGGCUCAUUCUGUCGUCAGAGUGAAUACAU